GAUGAACGCUGGCGGCGUGCCUAAUACAUGCAAGUCGAGCGAACAGACGAGGAGCUUGCUCCUCUGACGUUAGCGGCGGACGGGUGAGUAACACGUGGAUAACCUACCUAUAAGACUGGGAUAACUUCGGGAAACCGGAGCUAAUACCGGAUAAUAUAUUGAACCGCAUGGUUCAAUAGUGAAAGACGGUUUUGCUGUCACUUAUAGAUGGAUCCGCGCCGCAUUAGCUAGUUGGUAAGGUAACGGCUUACCAAGGCGACGAUGCGUAGCCGACCUGAGAGGGUGAUUAGCCACACUGGAACUGAGACACGGUCCAGACUCCUACGGGAGGCAGCAGUAGGGAAUCUUCCGCAAUGGGCGAAAGCCUGACGGAGCAACGCCGCGUGAGUGAUGAAGGUCUUCGGAUCGUAAAACUCUGUUAUUAGGGAAGAACAAAUGUGUAAGUAACUAUGCACGUCUUGACGGUACCUAAUCAGAAAGCCACGGCUAACUACGUG
rnacentral:rRNA from 1 species